GUCCGAUCCCGUUACACCCAUAGACUACUUUCAGGAUCAACACCAUCAUGUACUCAGACAGAGUGCUGGUGAUGCAUUCUGGGAAGGUGGUGGAGUUUGACAGCCCUACUGAUCUGUGUCAAAGAGACGACUCCAUUUUCUUCAAGCUGGAGACCAGUGGUGGAUGGAAUCGGUGGACCAACCAACCACCCGUCCAAUGGCGGUGGUAGAAGUUGGCCCUAUAAAAAUUACUGGUCCAGGGUUAGAUUUUUUAAAUCCCCAUGAGCGUUAAGGUUAGGAUUGGGGUAGGGAAAUCUGAUCCUAGAUCUGUGGUUAAGUGCGGAGACUUCUUCCUCGCUCGAGGCUCACCGACUGACAUUUGACCUUUGACCUCAGAGAGUAAGGUAUGAAUAAUCCAACCCAAGCAAGAUUAUUAUUUUAUUAUCUUUUAGGAAGUCGGGUUAAUUUUCUAGCUUUUUAUUCAUGAAACGCGUUAAUGUGGUACGAAAGAACUGAUGAUGUGUCAAUAGCACAGAGGUAAUGAAGAAACAAUGAAUAAGUACUUUAAUUGCUUUUGUAUGAAGGGAGUAUACUAUAGCACUAUAAUGGAUUUUGGCUGAAAAGUUGUCAUCCUAGACAGGUCAGUCAUUCACUUUGCAGCAUCAUCAAUCAUUUAUGAAUGUCUGAGAUUUCUCUUGCACCUGGUCUGUUGGCAGUAUGAUCUGUAUAGCUAGAGUGCACAAUAAUGGACAUUCUUCACAUAGAUAAAAUGCAUGUUUACACAUUGUUUGCUGUAUGGACUUGUUGCUGACAAACAGACUGAGAUAUUUCUCUUUGUUUACCAUUCACACAGAGCACAUUUGUUUGGAAGCUCCUCACAGUAUUGUUACGUCUGAGGAUUUCAAGCCAUUCUGUAGCAGAACUACUGUAUAUCAGACAUUUGAGAAUGUUUCUGUUUUGUAAUAUACUGUAAGAGAGAACAUUCAGGGAGAAUCGCCUUUGCAUGCAGCG